rnacentral:rRNA from 1 species
AUUGAACGCUGGCGGCAUGCUUUACACAUGCAAGUCGAACGGUAACAGGCCGCAAGGUGCUGACGAGUGGCGAACGGGUGAGUAAUGCAUCGGAACGUGCCCAGUCGUGGGGGAUAACGCAGCGAAAGUUGCGCUAAUACCGCAUACGAUCUAUGGAUGAAAGCGGGGGACCGUAAGGCCUCGCGCGAUUGGAGCGGCCGAUGUCAGAUUAGGUAGUUGGUGGGGUAAAGGCUCACCAAGCCGACGAUCUGUAGCUGGUCUGAGAGGACGACCAGCCACACUGGGACUGAGACACGGCCCAGACUCCUACGGGAGGCAGCAGUGGGGAAUUUUGGACAAUGGGCGCAAGCCUGAUCCAGCAAUGCCGCGUGCAGGAAGAAGGCCUUCGGGUUGUAAACUGCUUUUGUACGGAACGAAACGGUCCUGGUUAAUAUCCGUUGUUGAUGACGGUACCCGCAUAAGAAGCACCGGCUAACUACGUGCCAGCCGCCGCCGUAACAC